GACGAACGCUGGCGGCGUGCCUAACACAUGCAAGUCGAACGAUGAACCAGGGCUUGCCCUGGGGAUUAGUGGCGAACGGGUGAGUAACACGUGGGCAACCUGCCCCAGACACCGGGAUAACCUCUCGAAAGAGUGGCUAAUACCGGAUACGACCACUUUGGGCAUCCAACGGUGGUGGAAAGGAUUCUGGUCUGGGAUGGGCCCGCGGCCUAUCAGCUUGUUGGUGGGUAAUGGCCUACCAAGGCGACGACGGGUAGCCGGCCUGAGAGGGCGACCGGCCACACUGGGACUGAGACACGGGCCAGACUCCUACGGGAGGCAGCAGUGGGGAAUAUUGCGCAAUGGGCGAAAGCCUGACGCAGCGACGCCGCGUGAGGGACGAAGGUCUUCGGAUUGUAAACCUCUUUCAGCAGGGACGAAGCGAAAGUGACUGUACCUGCAGAAGAAGCACCGGCUAACUACGUGCCAGCCGCCGCAGUAA
rnacentral:rRNA from 1 species